rnacentral:rRNA from 1 species
AGGGCACCACCAGGAGUGGAGCCUGCGGCUUAAUUUGACUCAACACGGGAAAACUCACCCGGCCCGGACACCGUGAGGAUUGACAGAUUGAUAGCUUUUUCAUGAUUCGGUGGUUGGUGGUGCAUGGCCGUUCUUAGUUCGUGGAUCGAUUUGUCUGGUUUAUUCCGAUAACGAGCGAGACUCCAGCCUACUAACUAGCGCGAGCAUUGCCUCUGUGCUUGUCACUUCUUAGAGGGAUUGGCUGCGUCUAGCGGCACGAAACGGAGCAAUAACAGGUCUGUGAUGCCCUUAGAUGUCCGGGGCUGCACGCGCGCUACACUGGCAAAAGCAGCGUGCUUGUCCGCCUCCGAAAGGAGCCGGUAAACCCUUGAAAAUUUGCCGUGAUUGGGAUCGGAAAUUGCAAUUAUUUUCCGUGAACGAGGAAUUCCUAGUAAGUGCGAGUCAUCAGCUCGCGUUGAUUACGUCCCUGCCCUUUGUACACACCGCCCGUCGCUGCCUAGAACUGAGCCAUUUCGAGAA